CUUUUUACCACUCCUCUACGUAGAACAUAAUAUUUAACCUUCUUUCUGCUACAAGUGGCAUAUCGUACUUCACUUCCUGUUCAUCCGUUCACAGUUUGCACCUUUCUUUCCUCGCUGCUCUUAAAGUAACAACUGAAUCUCAGCCAAUCGGAGGAAGCUAAGAUUUUGAUUACCUAGCUGACUUGGGCCCCUUCCAUAUAUGUCCAUAUAUUCCUGCGCCCAUGGGUCGAACUCAUCGACUAGCGCCAUCGACCUCUCUUGGUAACAUAAGAGUAGCAAGUGUUCCAGUUUACUACAUAUUUCAGUGAUUUCCGCUCUUUCUAAUUCUCUUUACUUCAUGCUCUUUGUGGGUGUUGUCCAGUGUUGCUGUUGGGCUUCGUAGGAAAUUGAUGCGUAUCCAUGCGAGGAUUUCGAAUGGCGAGAAAAUGUGAUCAGUGGGUAUUUAGUUACCUGUACUGACAAGACAUCGAAAGCUUCCUAUGCCAUAGCAUACGCAUAACUUUAAAAUACAUAACCUCCGAGGGAAAAAUGAAGUCGGGAAGCUCCUUCGAGAAUAGGGGAUCCGUUCUGCUCAAACCGGAGGAAAACGAACAAGUCUUUCAGCUGAUAGGAAAUCGGUGUCAGUGCCUUGCAGCAGGAGUCAUUCAGUUAUACUUAACCGAGCCUCCCAUUCAUAGAGAAUGGUUAAAGAAGUCAUCGGGAAUAAUAACUUUAAUCAGGGACAAUCUUAAAAGAAAUUUUUUUCUCCGCUUAUAUUGUAUUCAAAGAAAAGCAAUGCUGUGGGAGCAUGAGGUUUACAAUUCCAUGGAUUACAAGGCUCCCAGAUUAUACUUUCAUACCUUUGAGGGUGAUGACUGUAUGACCGCAUUUAAUUUCGCGAGUGUUACAGAUGCAGUUACACUGAGAAACAUCCUCCUUGAGAAGCUUAAUAUCAAAAGACAACGGAGGCAAGAAAGACGCACAAAAAUGGAAGCUGAAGCCCAACGUGGUAUAACAUUGCCGAGAAAGAGCUACAGCAGUUCAUUGUCGCUCAAUAUUACACCUGGGAGUGCAACAAAUUUACCAAACGGUUCAUCAUCUAUGCGAGAAAAUAUUAGCGUUUCCAGUGGAUCUUUAUACAAUUCGUAUAUGAAGAAUCGAAAUUCUUCGAAAAGGAGACUAACAAAAGAAGACAUUAGUCUUCCUUCUAACUUUAGACACCUAACGCACAUGGGUUGGAAUGCCAACAAUAAAGGCAUUGAAUUAGACACCAAGGAUCCGCGAUUAAAGGAAUUUUUUAAUAAAGCAGGUGUUUCGGAGCGGGAACUUAACGAUCGAAAAACACGAGAAUUCAUAUUUAGCUUCAUAGAACAUCACGGUGGUUUUAACGAAGUUUUAAAGACGAUGGUUUCCGACGAUCGAUGUAAUACCCAACCAUUGCCUCUUCCGCUUCAUUCGGACAGUCCUCCACCUGUGCCAGCUAGAAUCAUGCCCAUCGGUACAAACUCUUCUUCAACUGGCGAUCAUCCUGUUAGGAGUGGACCUCCGGUUCCUCCAGCGCGGAUAAACGCCCCACCUCCUCCUCCAUGUGCACCUCCGGCACACCGGCCUCUACCAUCUCGGCCUUCUGCUCCAUUGGUAUCGCCUGCGCCAUCGCUGCCACUUGUUCCUCCACCUCCGGUGCCAUCGCAACCACCACCACCGCCACCUCCUCCUCCUCCGCCACCACCACCGCCACCGCCACUACCUGGUUAUAGCAAAGGUGAUACGGAAGGUGACACUCCAAUUCCUCCUCCACCACCUCCGUUGCCCGCUUCUGUUGAAAACAGCAGUGAAUCUUGCAUUUCCAAUCCUACGAAUUACGCCCCUAGUAAUAAUGGAGAAUCCUUAAAGCCAAGGGAUAUGCUUAUGGAAUCAAUAAGAAGCGGUACAACUCUUAAGAAGGUAAAUAAAACUGAUUCAAGACCUUCACCAACUGGUGAUUUAAGAAAUGAUUUGCUUCACCAAAUACGGCAAGGGGUGGAAUUAAAACCAGUCGUGAACGAGCCUAAGUCAAUUCCGUCAGCUGUGAUGGAGGAUGGAAUUGCUGGCGCACUUUCCAGGGCUUUAGCUGAGAGAUCACGUGCUAUACACAGUGAAAGUGAAGACUCCGUUAGUGGGUCAAGUGACGAUGACGACUGGGAUGAUUAAAUAACUGUCAUUGCAGAAAAGGUACAAAUUCUAUUGGAAAAGUAGCCGACUACAGGUAUGAUCGAUCUAAAUAAAUUUUCAAAUUGUCCGUCUUGUAGCUACUCGCUUACUUAGUAAAACCUACAUCAUAUUAUGUGUCAUUAAACGAUUAAACGUGUUGCGAGCAAGGCUAAAGCUUAUUGUGCCUAAGGAUGUAAAUAAAUGAGAAUAUUAGGAAUAGACGAACGUGGAGAACUCGAAUACUAAUUAAACCUAUGAUAAAACACGGUUAAGAGCCCGACAGAAGCACGUUGGCCAUACGAAACGUUGGUGAUACGAAAGGGUCAGCCUAUUUAUAUCUUACAGCUAAAAUCGUUUGUAAAAGUAUUCUCCGAAUUGGGUGUACCGAUUCGUUUCAAAUUCUACCACGUGAAUAUGGAAGCCCUAUGGACCUAGCUCGAACAAUGUGGAAUACUUUAGAAAUGCAACAUUACGGAGUCAGAUAGGAAAAUAUGGAAAAUACUUUAAUGAACGAUUGCAAGGGAAUGUUACCUUGUUCCGUGGGUAAUACAUGUUCCUAGAAGAAAAAUUGAAUUGCAGCUAUCAUCACCAAUGGCGCCAUUGGUCUAUUACACUAUAAAAAAUCGUGAAUCGACGGGAUUUCUACAGUUUUACUUCUACCGCUUUAUAAUUAUUUGACUGAAAUGGCAUAUGGAACUCUUCAUUUCGUAUAAUUCUCAAGAUAGCGUUUAACGGACUUCAACUGCAACGUGACGGUCCAAAGCGGUGCCCUUUCCGGGCCGAGGGCCUCCGAGGUACGGGGGCAGGCCGCCAUUUUGAGGAAACGCGGACCCUUGAGGGCGGGUGGACGCGAAGAGGAAGAUCCGGAGCACCGGUCACAUUCUGGGAGUUGGAGCACGGCCCGCGGCCGGUAAGGGGAGACCUCAAGCGAAUUCGAGAUCCCUCUGCCGGACUUCCGCGGGACGCGGUGGCGGGGGGUCGUCCGCUAGAUCGAGAUUUCGUUUCACGCCCGGGACAGGGUCAGUGAUGUGCCGUGCGUGGUUGUACCUAAGGCCUGCGGAGUCCCCCCACGCAGAGAGGAUCGGGUAGAAUGCAAAGGCAACGGGAUCUUGAAAACCAUCUGGCCAUUCGUUUAGAUAUCCGCUCUUGUACCAUGCAUAGUUGAGCAGUUUGUGAUAAUUCGACGAUGGAAGCCGGUUAUGUCCUAAAGAUUGUAAUUUUAUUACAUUAAAGCGCGUUCGUGAUCUUGAAAUUCUCUUCUAAUUUGGGUGCUAGCUUCCGUAAUCAUUUUCUCGUAAAGAGUAAGAGCCCAACGUUUAUCUUCUUUCUGCUCUUGUGAACCCAGAAAUAGUCCAUAAUUCAGGUCAUGGUGCAAGCUUCAAAGACCUGUUUUUUUCACAUUAUUCAGAAACGGAGGAAUGACGAAUUGAUGAGUACUUACCGUGCGCCGCUCCGACCUUAUAUUAUGACGAACAGAAAGCCGCCAUGUCACUAACUAAAACAGGUACAAUAAAUAAAUAUUGAUAAGAAAUGCACGAAGCACACAUGUAAUGAAUUUUAUUAAUUGCGUUGAUUCCUAAUUACAUUUCCGCUUCUAAAUUCUAAUAUAACGUGUCACAGAUCCGCGUGACACGAUAGUCAACAUGUUAAAAUCGAGCUUUCAUUUCUUACAGAAAUUAAAUUUAUGUACACUUUCAUCAUUUUAUUUUGCGAUUUAGUUUGAAAUGUUGAUUUCCAUAGAAUUACUUAUCUUAAAACAUAUAUAUGAGCACAUGUAUAUAAAUAGGUGACUGGAAUUGCCGUAUAAAAAAAAUCAUGUCCAUUGAAA
rnacentral:misc_RNA from 1 species